GCAGCCUUUGUCUGUACAGAGUGGUCAGGACCCAAGCUUGUGGCGCUUGUAACACAGGUUCAAAUCCCGUAGGCAGCA